UGUUGAUGGAGGGUCGCCGUGAACUUUCUAGAGAGUUGGUGAGAGAUAUUUUAGACCUUGCAGAGUAUGUGGAAGCAGGACCUGCCGACCCCGAGCAUGCAGCGUGUAAAGCAGAGGAAUUUACUGAAGUUGUUGGAGUUAUUUCUGCACUUUCCGACCAAGAUGUUGACCGUAGAGUGACUGCAAAUUUAGAAGAAGUGCUCCGCUGCUUUUCUGGUACCAGGGCGCAACAGGAGCACACACAGGGAGCAGGGCGUUUAGCAUACCGAGGGAAGUUCUGGAACAUCACGUUCUUUGUGGAUUACCAGCCUGUCAAAUUGCAGAUGCUCGGAGUGUCAAGGGCUUUUCCUUUUGGACCUAUUCGGCGCGGCGCGGCGCGGCUCGGCUCGUCUUUGUUUAGCCGCGGCUCCGCAAGCACCUACUCGGCGCGGUUCGGCUCGGCUCGUCCUUGCGAGCGUUUCCAUAUGGACUAGUUCCUGGUACCAGGCACUGUUUUCUGCACCUUCUGAGCUGAGGUUCCAAGCGAGCUGAGAUGAGCCGAUAAUGUGACGUCUACAUAGUGCAGGCCACUGAUUGGACAGGGAGUGACGACACACAGAGCGACUCUAGCAGGAAAACAAACCCUGCAUUAAAAAAAAAAAAACAACAAAAAAAAUGUAAACAGCGACGGUGUGCAUUGCUCUUCACGGAACUCUCUGUUCUUCAUAAUUUUAAUAUGACAGCCAGACCUGUACCGUGGGUGAAUGAAGAGGUCGAGACUUUUCUGUCUUUGGUGGUGGACCAAAGAAUACAGAGGGAGCUGGACGGAGAAAGUUUAUCAGGAGGUCUCUGAGCGGAUGGCCGCCCACGUAUACAGUAGACUGUAUAUAAAGAGGACAGAAGCAGUGUAGGGAGAAGCUGAAAAAGCUCAAAAGUGACUAUCGGUCCACCCAGGACCACAACGGCCGGCGUGGGUCAACCAGGAGGUGUUGGAAGAGGUUUAAUGGAAGCUAUUUACUGGCACCGCCAGCAACAGGAGGGAGACUCAGCUGCUGCAUUGUUGGAGACGUUCGAGGACGAAUCCCUUUCCACAUGUGAAGCCUGCUCCACUUCCGUCAUGGAGCCCCCAGCACCCCUGCCUCCUCUCCAGCACCAGCUUCGACACCAGUACCAGCUCGGACACAGACACUGUCAACAUCAACCUCCAGCACGUCACAGCAACGUCUAAUCACCGGCAAGAGGAAAAGGGGCCACAGAAAAUCGGACCUUCCUAGCGUACUUGUGGAGAUGCAGGCUGAGGAGGAGCGGAGUCAUGCCCAGCAUGAUGAGAACAUCUGGUUGCUCCUCAGCGAGGCAAGAGAGAAUGAAGUGUAAUAUUUGGAUGAUGUUCAUUUUGUCGUUAACUAUCAUAGGAUAACGUUAUUUUUAGAAAAGAUGGUUUUACCUUAGCUGACAUGUUUCAACUGCAACUGCAGUCUUCUUCAGAGCGUCAUCCGACGUGUGCUGACGUGUCCUUUUUUAUCAGGUGACCGGUCUGACAGAUCUGUCGGAAUCUGUCAGACCUACACCCUCUCGCAUACCUCCAUCCUCCAGAGGCCACCGGACGGCGGGGGGCGUGGCCAGUCUGACAGAUUCCGACAAAUCUGUCAGACCAGUCACCUGAUAAAAAAGGACAUGCCGGAUGACACUCUGAAGAAGUCUGCAGUUGAAACAUGUCAGCUAAGGUAAAACCAUCUUUUCUUUGAUUUGUCGGUGUAAAAAAAUAACGUUAUCCUGAGAAUGAAGCGGCCUUGCAGCGGAGGAGAUGGCCCAGAAUACUGCCUUCAACCAGCCAUUCCUGGGUGUGCUGGGGCAGGCAGUGGGCAGCCGGCGAGUGUGAGUGAGUCCACCUCUCAUAGACUUGAGAUUUACAAAUGCUGGUCAUAUAAUUAGAAUAUCAUGAAAAAGCUUGUCUUUUGGACAACUGUCAGGUCAGCAGUCUUCCCCAUGAUUGUGUAGCCUACAGAACUAGGCUGAGAGACCAUUUAAAGGCCUUUGCAGGUGUUUUGAGUUAAUUAGCUGAUUAGAGGUGUCUUCAAUAUUGAACCUUUCCACAAUAUUCUAACUCUCUGAGAUACCAAAUGUGGGAUUUUCAUUAGUAUUCAGGUAUAAUCAUCAAAAUUAAGAGAAAUACACAUUUGAAAUAUAUCAGUCUCUGUGUAAUGAAUGAGUAUAAUAUACAAGUUUCACUUUUUGAAUGGAAUUACUUUUUCAUGAUAUUCUAAUUUUAUGACCAGCACCUGUAGUUGUAUAUAGUUUUACUUUUAGUCCUCCACUGUAGGAGAGGCCCACCACAGUUUGUACUUUGCACAUUGUAAAUAAUUUAGAUUUUGCUGCUGACUAAUAAACUAUUUUGUGACUUAUGUGAUUGCAUCACAACUUCUCAUUUUGUCUGUUAAGACACUGGUAGGAAAAGAGUCAACAGUCUGAACCAAACAAUUCUGUAUUCCCUAAUAAUGCAUUUGUGUUUAAUGGGAUUUAACAUGUUUUAACACAAACUCCUUUAUGGUUCAUAAUUCCGUUGACUGAAUUACACCAAAGCAAUACUGAUUUAUCAAACUGGAAUUUUCUUAAAACAGCUGUUGUAAUGUUUUGGUGUUUAAUUUCUCAUUUAAUCUUGCUAACCAUCACAAAUAAACAAUAGCAUAGACACAUCU